GGGGAAUUAGCUCAGAUGGUAGAGCGCCGCUUUUGCAAGGCGGAGGCCGUCGGUUCGAAUCCGUCAUUCUCCACCA
rnacentral:tRNA from 3 species